UACAUCGGCACCCUUUCUCCAUGUGA
rnacentral:piRNA from 1 species